UGUCAGACUGUUCUGUGAAGGAGUGGACCUCACACUGUUAGAAUGGAGGUUCUACCAUGAUGACAAUAUGUAUUUGCUCAAACGCUUUGAUACUGAUAGUGUGAAUGAGACCACAAAAGUCUUUAAUGACUCAACAUUGGUGUCUGCAUCUGUCGAACUUGUUGAGUUCUCCCAGGACAAAAUUUCGAGAAUUUUUGCAAAUUUCUCAUCAGUUCUUUCUUUAGACAUUUCUCAAAUAGCCAUUGGGAUACAGAAGGUUUUCAAGAUCAGAUGUGGUGAUGCACGACAUUUCAAUGAAACCUUAGUGAACAUCUCAUUAGUAAAAGAGACAGUACCCAAUGUCUAUAAUUUCAGUGUGAGCAUCAAUACUUCUAUACUGACAGUCACUUGGAAUCAAUACGCUGAAUGUUCACAAUACCAAGAGGAGAUCCUUUACAAUGUUUCCCUAAUUCUCUUUGAUGGUACAAAUGACAAUAAAAUUGUGAACAGUAGAGUAUGCAUAGCCUCGUUCCCAGGCCUUACUUUUUCUUGCUGUUGUCACUGUUCAUCCAUGAAAGACAUAGUGGAGGCAGCAAAGAAAGAAAUGGGCGUACAGUUAAGAAAAAGUAAGGCCUGGUUUGGGAAAUCGCGUGAUCCACAAGGAUUUUUAUGAACGUGGGCGAUAUGUAGCCCACAAUCGUGACGUAAGGUAUUCUCCCACGCAUUCAGAGUUUUAAUUAAUAAGACUGUACUGAGACAACCACCAAGCUGUGCUGCAAGUCAGAUCAGAGAACCAGCGUGGCCAGCUCUGGUGGCAGUAGCUACCUGCUAUAUGAUAAUGAUGACUAAGCUAUUCUUGAUCUAUACUAUAGACUAUAGCAUGUAGAAAGACACAAGAAAAGGUGAUAGUAGUCUGACAGAAUAGGAUAGAAUCUGAACACACAAUCUAGACUAGUAGAUCAUCUAGCUAAGCCUAAGGUAUAGCUAGCUCUAGUGCUUGCAAACUUCCAGUUCCAAGUCCAUGUCCAGCUUGCUGCAGGCAAAGUUUAAUUAGUCAUAGAUCUCUGCGUGGGCAGUCCAACAUCUCUAGCUCAGCAUGCCCACGCUCAUUUUCACCCUUCUACCACCCUUCUACCCUCACGCGACUUCCCGAUACAGGCUCUCCUUUUUCCUAACUUUACGUCUAUUUCUUUCUUUAUUCCUCCAAUUAAUACCGUAUUUUAUCUCAUUGAACGAUUAAUACAGUAUUUUAUCUUAUUGAACGAUUGUGAUAAAGAACAGAAAAAGGAGAGCCUGUGUAGAGGCUAGAGUAUGCACACCAACUUGCUCUGUAUCCUUUGAAGUUUUGGAAACUGGGAUCUAUGUUGUCGCCCUUCAAGCUAAAAACAACAUAGGGACUAGUAAUAUCACUACAUACAGUGGCAUCAUACCAGAAUCUAUUGUGUGUGAUCCUUCUACUCUUAUCAACGGGAGUCUUAGAAUUUUAUCGACUGAGUCUGAUUUCACGGAGGGGUCAGAAAUAGUGCUCCAGUGUGACAAUGGUCUACUUCCCAGUCAUCCAAGAACAGCAAUGUGUGUUAAAGUUUCAGGAAGAGGAGAGUGGGUGCCUAAUUUUGCUGACCUACUUUGUGAAGAAGAUUCCAAGGAAGUUUCUCUGACCAUCAAUGAAGUUGCUGUGAUUUCCACCAUUGUAACAUUUAUUGUGGCAAUGGUUUCUGGUUGUGCUUGUGGUGCUCUCUUGACAUACUGGGUCAUGCGUAAGAAGGCAGUGUUCUCCCCAGCAGCUGAUGGACAAGCUAUUAACGUAGGACCCACUGUACCAGCUGGUCCUAUUUAUGAGGAGGUGUCACCCAAAGAGGAGAUUGAACUCAACAUUAACCAAGCGUAUGGACCAGUAUAGACGGUGUUAGUGUCCAUGUAACAUUCCAGCCAUUAUUAUGGUUAUAGUUAACGUUUUACAUAUUCAUGCAUGUGCAUAGAUUACAGAAUGAG